UGCAUUUGUUGAUUACAACAAGUUACAUUAAAAGUCAUAUCAAGUAUAGUUUUCUAAUUUGUUGACAGUGCAAGAUAUUACCACAACAGCACAUACCUAUUACUCUUAUUUACAAGCAGUUANUGUAAUUUUGUCUAUUGGUAAGAGAUUAGAUAUAACUUUUUAUANGGUUUUUAAAUUCUUUAUUAUGCACAUUAAUAGUUAUACUGUGUAUGAAGUUUUUGUUUGGAUAUUAGUGUGAAAGAAAAACGGGACCAAAAUUUAAAUUUGACCAUGCAAAUGCAAUAUUAUUCACAGAAGAAGGAAUACGUGAGCAGAAAGAGUAGAAUGUCUGAUGCAAUUGGAUGAUUUUGAAAUAAGAUGUUAGACAAUAAGAGUCACUAUACCCUGAAACAAACAUCAAACCUCAACAAGAGUAAUGCCAAAACAAACACAUAAUGCCAACCUUACAAUAAUGUUAUGUUCUGGCAAUGCAGUGGUCCUACGUAACUAACUUCUUUUGCUCAUUUACAGACUUGCANCUGCUUUAGUCUAAACUUUGGAAAACAACUUUUCAGAAUAUAGUUUUCUUUCAAAUUUGUUCAUACAAGACCAUUUUUCUUGAUAAAAACAAACCAUAAACUUAACUCAUGCCAAUAAUUUGCAGAACUUCAGUCUUCUUAAACAUGGUCUUGAGGUUCUUUGACCAAUAAUUAAGCAAGAGAAUAACUAAUUAAAAGUCAUUUUGAAUUUAACUUUUAAGAUAUUAUGAUAAAUAUCCAACAAACUUACCGUGCAUGCCAAUUUUUAGUUUUUAGCUGAAUAACAGUGAAAAAUUUUAAAUUUCAGUGGACAAAAUGCUUGCUAAAACAAAACUGUUUUUGUUUAAAAAAGUACAUGCUUGUUGAUGGAAAAGUAGUUUAGUAACUUCAACAUCACUUUAAAAGCAUUCCAAUGAAAAACAUAAAUUAAAGCUUUA
rnacentral:lncRNA from 1 species